rnacentral:rRNA from 1 species
GACGAACGCUGGCGGCGUGCCUAAUACAUGCAAGUCGAGCGGACCGAUGGGAGCUUGCUCCUUUAGGUUAGCGGCGGACGGGUGAGUAACACGUGGGCAACCUGCCCUGGAGUGGGGGACAACAGUUGGAAACGACUGCUAAUACCGCAUAAGCCCACGGCCCGGUAUCGGGUUGAGGGAAAAGGAUUUAUUCGCUCCAGGAUGGACUCGCGUCCAAUUAGCUAGUUGGUGAGGUAACGGCUCACCAAGGCGACGAUUGGUAGCCGGACUGAGAGGUUGAACGGCCACAUUGGGACUGAGACACGGCCCAG